rnacentral:rRNA from 1 species
UACGUAGGGCGCAAGCGUUAUCCGGAAUUAUUGGGCGUAAAGAGCUCGUAGGCGGUUUGUCGCGUCUGCCGUGAAAGUCCGGGGCUCAACUCCGGAUCUGCGGUGGGUACGGGCAGACUAGAGUGAUGUAGGGGAGACUGGAAUUCCUGGUGUAGCGGUGAAAUGCGUAGAUAUCAGGAGGAACACCAAUGGCGAAGGCAGAUCUCUGGGCCGUAACUGACGCUGAGGAGCGAAAGCAUGGGGAGCGAACAGG